ACCCGCUGAACUUAAGCAUAUCAAUAAGCGGAGGAAAAGAAACCAACAGGGAUUGCCCUAGUAACGGCGAGUGAAGCGGCAACAGCUCAAAUUUGAAAUCUGGCGUCUUUGGCGUCCGAGUUGUAAUUUGCAGAGGGCGCUUUGGCAUUGGCAGCGGUCCAAGUUCCUUGGAACAGGACGUCACAGAGGGUGAGAAUCCCGUACGUGGUCGCUAGCCUUUACCGUGUAAAGCCCCUUCGACGAGUCGAGUUGUUUGGGAAUGCAGCUCUAAAUGGGAGGUAAAUUUCUUCUAAAGCUAAAUACUGGCCAGAGGCCGAUAGCGCACAAGUAGAGUGAUCGAAAGAUGAAAAGCACUUUGGAAAGAGAGUUAAAAAGCACGUGAAAUUGUUGAAAGGGAAGCGCUUGCAGCCAGACUUGCCUGUAGUUGCUCAUCCGGGUUUUUACCCGGUGCACUCUUCUAUAGGCAGGCCAGCAUCAGUUUGGGCGGUUGGAUAAAGGUCUCUGUCAUGUACCUCUCUUCGGGGAGAACUUAUAGGGGAGACGACAUGCAACCAGCCCGGACUGAGGUCCGCGCAUCUGCUAGGAUGCUGGCGUAAUGGCUGU
rnacentral:rRNA from 1 species